AAAAUCUUCAUAUCAAAUAAAUGAAUGUCAACACUACAAUCUUAAAAAUCACUCAUAAUAUUAUCUUUUUGUGUAGUGAUGACAUGACAACCAAUAACUACAUUAGAAAACAUACAAUAAAACAAGAGUAUUUAUAAUAAAUGACUAUAGAUUUGAAAAGAAUGUACAAACUAACCUUGAAUCACAGUAUCUUGUCGGAAACAUGUUGGAAAACACGUGUAAUUACGUAAAUGUCCUUUGUAACAUGUUAUUUUUCCGAAAUACAUGCGAUAACAUAAUAUCCUCUUUUUAUCUUGUUAUUUUCUCUUAUUACAUAGUAUUUAUUAAAAAGCACCUGGUAUUUUUUGGAAAAAACAUUCUAUUCAGUUUAAUAUCUCUUUUUAUCAUGAUAUUUUGUAGUAAUACACGUUUUUUAUUAAGAUCACACGUGAUUUCUUUAAAAAUAUAUUCCUAUUUUUUAGUAAUACAUGGUUUUUAUUAAAAUCACAUAUAAUUUUUUUUUUUUAAGAUUCUGUUCACGUAAAAGAAUUUCAUAAGAAUA
rnacentral:sRNA from 1 species